AACUUUAGUAGUGGAUCUCUAGGCUCUCGCAUCGAUGAAGAACGUAGCAAACUGCGAUAAGUAGUGUGAAUUGCAUCAGUGAAUCAUCGAAUCUUUGAACGCACCUUGCACCCAUUGGUAUUCCAAUGAGUACACCUGUUUCAGUAUGGGAAAGAAAACCACAGUCAACUCAUCUACAUUGGUAUUUGAAUUGGCUGGACUUGGGCUAUUUGUAUAAAACUACCAGUAGCCUUGAAUACAAAAUGUUUAAAUACAUUGAUGCAACAAGCAACUGUUGCAUUGGAGCUGCUAUAGCUAUCUGAAAUCAGGCGAGAGUACCCGCUGAACUUAAGCAUAUCAGUAAGCGGAGGAAAAGAAACUAACAAGGAUUCCCUUAGUAACGGCGAGUGAACAGGGAAGAGCUCAAAGUUGGAAUCUAUCUGGCUUAGCCAGAUCGAAUUGUAAACUUUAGAGUCGUUAUCCAGAUCAGCCGAGUAAAUAAGUUCCUUGGAAUAGGACAUCAUAGAGGGUGAGAAUCCCGUCUUUGGCUUGAGCAAUGAUCUUUUUGUGAUGCGACUUCAACGAGUCGGGUUGUUUGGGAAUGCAGCCUUAAUUGGGUGGUAAAUCUCAUCUAAAGCUAAAUAUUAGCGAGAGACCGAUAGCGAACAAGUACCGUGAGGGAAAGAUGAAAAGAACUCUGGAAAGAGAGUUAAAAGUACGUGAAACUACUAAAGCUUAUUUAUUUAAAGCUGAUAUGGUUGGCCUUACUUCAAAACCCUGACUGUGGGCUAAACCUCCCAACAGCAGUUUAUGGUAUGGGAAAAAGGCACUGACGGUGCAUCAUCAAGGUUGUGUGUAGGUCACGGUCUACUUGAUGGAUAGCAGGUAGGUUACGGUCUACUUGAUAGAUCGCAGGUAGGUCACGGUCUACUUGAUAGAUCGCAGGUAGGUCACGGUCUAUUUAAUAGAUCGCAGGUAAGGAAAGGUCUAUUUGAUUAACUGCACGUCAGUAUGAAAACGCCAUACCGUACUGUAGACUGAGGCUUGCAGCGAAUGCUUUUGGCUUUAGCCGCAUAAUGCUCAAAUCAUUAGAUCAUUUUAUGGUCUACUUUAAUUGAUUCAAUUUGCUGGCUUCUUAUUCGCUUAGGUUGUUGGGAUGAAGGCUUUAAAUAUUCCGUCUUGAACACGGACCAAGGAGUUCAACAUGAGUGCAAGUAUUUGGGUGCCAAAUCCAUAUGCGAAAUGAAAGUGAAUUAGUAUGAAUCCCUUGAGGAGGCAAUACAGCCCGGCAUUGAAGUUUUAUACGGAAGUGACCGAGGUAAAGCAUUCAUGAUGAGACCCGAAAGAUGGUGAACUAUGCCUGGAUAGGGUCAAGCCAGACUAGAGUUUGGUGGAAGCUCGUAGCGAUUUUGACAUGCAAAUCAAUCGUCAAAUCUGGGUAUAGGGGCGAAAGACCAAUCGAACCAUCUGAUAGCUGGUUCCUGCCGAAAUUUCCCUCAGGAUAGCGGAAACUCAUAGGCAGUUUUAUGCGGUAAAGCGAACAAAUUUAGCUCUGAACACUCCGUGUUUAACCUAUCUUUCUGCCCUUUAAUCCAUAAGACAGCUUUCUUUCGUAAUUGAAGUUGGUUUCGAAUGCUGAGUUUCUAGUGAGCCGUUUCUGGUAAACAGAACUGGUAAUGCGGGAUGAACCGAACGCAAAGUUAAGGUGCCCAAAUACAUGCUCAAAGAUAUCACAAAAGGCGUUAGUUUGUCUUGACAGCAGGACGGUAGCCAUAGAAGUUGGAACCCGCUAAGAAGUGUGUAACAACUUACCUGCCAAAUGAAUUGGCCCUGAAAAUGGAUGGCGCUUAAGCAUGUUACCGAUACUUUGCCAUCAUGGUAUAAGCAAAACCAUGAUGAGUAGGCAGGCGUGGAGGUUUUUUAAACUGUUAAGAAGCCUUGGGUGUAAACCUGGGUGAAACAGCCUCUAGUGCAGAUCUUGGUGGUAGUAGCAAAUAUUCAAAUGAAAACUUUGAAGACUGAAGUGGGGAAAGGUUCCUAGGCAACAGCAUUUGACCUAGGGUUAGUCGAUCCUAAGACAUAGGGAAACUCUGUUACGUACUUUGCCAAUUCAUUUGGCUACCUAUCGAAAGGGAAACCGGUUAAUAUUCCGGUACCUGAAUGCAGAUUUUAUGCGGUAACGCAAAUGAAUUUGGGGACACCAGUAUGGACCCUGGGAAGAAACUUCUUUUCUUUUUAACAGUCGCUUUGACCAUGGAAAACAGUUUAGCUGCCGAAAUGGUGAAAACCCUGGUAGAGUACAGCACUUGUGUUGUAUCCGGUGCAUUCAUAAUGGUCCUUGAAAACCCAAAGGAAAGAAUAAGUUUUGCAUCAGGUCGUACUCAUAACCGCAGCAGGUCUCCAAGGUUAAAAGCCUCUAGUUGAUAGAACAAAGUAGAUAAGGGAAGUAGGCAAAUUGGAUCCGUAACUUCGGGAUAAGGAUUGGCUCUAAGGGUUGAGAAAGUUUGGGCCUUUGGUACAGCCUUCGACUAGAUCUGAUUGUUUAAGCCUUGGGGGUAGUGGCAGCUAGGUGGGAGCUGGUAGGAGUUUGGUACAGUGCGCAGCUAAGUGGGAGUCGGUGGAAGGUUGAUAUAGUGCGCACCUAGGAAGGAUCUGUUGGGAUGUUGGUACAAUGCGCAGGUAGAAAUGAUUGGUUUGGAAUUUAUGUGAUUGGGGCAUUAUGGCUUAAACUUUCUGACUAGACUUGGGUAAAGGUCAUUGGAAUCCGGCUUGCCACAAACAACCAACUUAGAACUGGCACGGACAAGGGGAAUCCGACUGUUUAAUUAAAACAUAGCAUUGCGAUGGCCAGAAAGUGGUGUUGAUGCAAUGUGAUUCCUGCCCAGUGCUCUGAAUGUCAAAGUGAAGAAAUUCAACCAAGCGCGGGUAAACGGCGGGAGUAACUAUGACUCUCUUAAGGUAGCCAAAAUGCUUUGCCAACCAUGGCAUGCAUUGAUUGGAUUAACGAGAUUCCCACUGUCCCUAUCUACUAUCUAGCGAAACCACAGCCAAGAGAAGGGCUUGGCAUAAUCAGCGGGGAAAGAAGACCCUGUCGAGCUUGACUCUAGCUUGACAUUGUAGAAAGACGCGGGAGAUAAGAGCCUAAGUGGGAGCUAGCAUGAUAUGUUAUGUGUUAGCGAAGGUGAGACACCACUUCUUCUGCAGCCUUUCUACUUAGGUAAUAAAGUGGGAAUACUUUUCAAGUAUUAAGUGCACAAUUGUUGCAUGACCCAUGUUAUCGACAGUGUCAGGUGGGGAGUUUUGCUGGGGCGGCGCAUCUGCGAAAUAGUAAGCAGAUGUCCUAAGGGAGACUCAGUGAGGACAGAAACCUCACGUAGAACAAAAGGGUAAAAGUCUCCUUGAUUUUGAUUUUCAAUGUGAAUACAAACCAUGAAAGUGUGGCCUAUCGAUCCUCUAUGUCCAAAAGGUAUUUGGCUAGAGUGUCAGAAAAGUUACCGCAGGGACAACUGGCUUGUGGCAGCCGAGCGGCAUAGCGACGUUGCUUUUGUGAUUUUGAUAUCGGCUCUUCCUAUCAUACCGAAGAAGCAUUCGGUAAGCGUUGGAUUGUUCACCCACUAACAGGGAACGUGUGCUGGUAUUAGACCGUCGUGAGAUAGGUCGUUUUAUACCUACUGAUGAUACUGUAUCGCAACAGCAAUUGAAGUUAGUACGAGAGGAACUCUUCAGUCAGAUCACUGGUACUGCAGUUGGUCGAGCGGCCAAUGCUGCAAAGCUACAUCUGUUGGAUAAUGGCUGAACGACUCUAAGCCAGAAUCCAGUCUAGAAACGAUGCAACCUACGUUUAAGCAAAAAGUACAAAUAGGCUUUUUUGCUGUUAACUAUACUUUCACUUGU
rnacentral:rRNA from 1 species